CAGUACCUACCCAAACCCUUCGCACUCCCUCCCGUAGUCCCGUUCGUUUUCUUCUCUCUCCUCCAUCAGAUCUUCUCCUUCGAUCUUCGCCGUCUUCGCUUCUCAAACCUCGCCACUUUUUCUCUCAAACUUUCUCUCUCCUACUGCUUCUCAGCCGUCUGCUAUCACCGUCGUCUCCACCAUCACUCUGAUCGGCCUUCCAUCGACGUCCACUUCUCUGCAACCUAAUCCCGUUUUCCCUAAUUAUCUCCGUCGAAUGGUGUAUGAGGAUAUCUACGAUGCUAAGACUGCCCUUAAUCAUCUGACUGGGUUCAAUGUCGCAAAUCGGUACUUGAUUGUGUCUUAUUAUUAGCCUGUUAAGAUGAACACGAAGAUUGAUUUUAAGAAGGAGGAUAUUACCAAAUUGCAGGAGAAAUAUGGUGUUUCUACUAAAGAUAAGUGAUGUGUUUUUGGGGGAUUUAAGUUUGUGUAGAGGAUUAUGUAAAAUGUGGUUGGUUUAAUUUUUAAGGUUUUUUAUUUUCCGAUAAUCGACAUUGUUACUACUUAAUAUUUUAGUGUUAAAUUGUUGAUUACAUUAUGAAAUUUGAGUUCUUAUUAAUCUUGAAUUGAAUUUUUGUGAAGUACAACAAUACAAGCAGAAACGGAGGCGAUGAUUCGAAAGCAACCAUGGAGGACCCUGCAAUUCCAAUUCACCCUCCCUCGAAAUUCAAAAUACCCGGUCUGGUGCCACUCUGUGUAAGAAGAUUAAGAAGAUGGAGGUCAGUCAACACAACAAGUACUUUUGUGAGUUCUGCGGAAAGUACGCCGUGAAGAGAAAGGCUGUUGGUAUUUGGGGAUGCAAGGACUGUGGG